rnacentral:rRNA from 1 species
UGGCGGCGUGCUACACAUGCAAGUCGAACGGGAAAGUACCUUCGGGGUGCGAGUAAAGUGGCGAACGGGUGAGUAACGCGUGGGUGAUCUGCCCUUUGGUGGGGGAUAACCCGGGGAAACCCGGGCUAAUACCGCAUGAGCCUGAGGUUGUCAUGACUUUAGGGAAAGCAUUUAUGUGCCGAAGGAGGAGCCCGCGUCCGAUUAGCUAGUUGGUGGGGUAAGAGCCUACCAAGGCAACGAUCGGUAGCCGGUCUGAGAGGACGGACGGUCACACUGGGACUGAGACACGGCCCAGACUCCUACGGGAGGCAGCAGUGGGGAAUUUUGGGCAAUGGGCGAAAGCCUGACCCAGCAACGCCGCGUGGAGGAUGAAGGUUUUCGGAUCGUAAACUCCUGUCUAGAGGGACGAAGCAAGUGACGGUACCUCUGGAGGAAGCCCCGGCUAACUCCGUGCCAGCAGCCGCGGUAAUACGGGGGGGGCAAGCGUUGUUCGGAAUUACUGGGCGUAAAGGGCGCGUAGGCGGUAUUGGAAGUCAUGGGUGAAAGUCCUCGGCUCAACCGAGGGAUUGCCUGUGAAACCACAGUACUGAAGUGCUGGAGAGGGAAGUGGAAUUCCCAGUGUAGCGGUGAAAUGCGUAGAUAUUGGGAGGAACACCUGUGGUGAAGGCGGCUUCCUGGACAGACACUGACGCUGAGGCGCGAAAGCCAGGGGAGCGAACGGGAUUAGACACCCCGGUAGUCCUGGCUGUAAACGAUGAACACUUGGUGUGGGGGGUGAUGAAGUCCCUCUGUGCCGGAGAAAACUCGUUAAGUGUUCCGCCUGGGGAGUACGGCCGCAAGGCUGAAACUCAAAGGAAUUGACGGGGGCCCGCACAAGCGGUGGAGCAUGUGGUUUAAUUCGACCCAACGCGAAGAACCUUACCGGGGUUUGAACUGCGCCUGAACAACUAAAAAUGGGGAGGUUCCCUUCGGGGACAGGUGCAAAGGUGCUGCAUGGCUGUCGUCACUCGUGUCGUGAAAUGUUGGGUUAGUCCCGCACGAGCGCA